rnacentral:rRNA from 1 species
ACUGUUUGUGGGAGCUUUGAUCAAAGGUUGGCCACACUUCGUAGUGUUGGGGAGCAUGCUAGUGACUAUGAGCUGAGGCUCCUCUUGAAGGAGAAAACCGCCCCCAUUUGCUAUGUCUGGUGUGAUCCCUCCCCCUGGAUGACUAUAACCCAGGGAAUUUCAAUGACAAUUAAUGUUAAUAAGUUGGUUAAAGCUGGAUGCGAAGUUAAAAUGUUGAUGGCAGAUUGGUUUGCUCUAAUGGACCCUAAGAUUGGUGGUAACAUAUGCAAAGUGCAGACUAUUGGCAGGUACAAUAUUGAGAUGCUGAGAGCAUCUGGCAUGAACCUCGAUGGGGUGGAGUUUGUGCAGUUGUCAGAUUUAAUAAGCUGCCAUGCAGAAGAGUACUGGCCAGUUGCCAUGGAUAUUGCAAGAAAUAGCAAUCUUAGUGAAAUUAAAAGA